ensembl:lncRNA
UCAGACAUGGAAUUUAAAAACAAGUGCUGAAGUCCUCAAGCUUUACCUAACAUGUGUGGAACAGUACAGUUCCUUCUUGUUUGAAAGAAUAUUUAACCCCUCCUCCUGCCCCCCCCAAGACACAGACAACAAACAAACAAACAAAACCAAAAUCAUUUUAUUUCCUUUCUUCUGAAGUUUAAAAAGGAAAGCACAAAUUCUUCUGGUCAUGAAUGGUAGAUCAUUUUUUCUGCUUUUCCAGUUAUUUCUUAUAAUGUUUAAUUUUAUAAAUUAUUCUUUCAACUAUUUAUCAGUUUUGUGCCCAGCUUUUAUGUUAUAUUUUCUUGUUGUGCUCCAUGAUGCUUGCUGUGCCUUAUAGUGUUUGUUUUGUGCCUUCAUCUAAUGUUUCCUACUUGUUAUAUAGCUUGAUACUUUUAUCUAGUCUUUUCACAUGAUUUUUAAUGAAAUGAACCAAAACUUGUUAUUUUCAAAUAGGUUAUCAGAAUAAGGAGUAAACACAAUCUAAAACUUCUGAUGAAACUUUCUAUUGAUUUAUUUAUUUUUAGUUACUAUUAUUAUUGAGCCAUAUAUGUAUUCAGUGUGUGAAGGUUGCGCCAAAGGCCAUCCUAGGAACAGAAUGAGCUUAUAUCGCCACAGCGUUCACACCCCCUGUGCUCCUUUCCUUCUUUUUCUAGCUGAAGACAAAGUAAGAAAUUAUAUCUUCAGACACAAAUCUUAUUUAACAGCCUUGAGAAAAAAGCAAUUGUAGGUAAAUAGACAAAAAGAGAAGUAUAAUCUAAAGAUUUCAAACAAAAGAAGUCCUCUGCUUCCAAAACAAAAUCCUUGUACCACAUCUAUUUGUUGGAAAAAACAAAUAUUCAGUUCUUCUUGAAAUCUUCUAAUUAACAAUUUCUUAUUUAUUAUUGCAUUUGUCCUCAAUUCCUUGCACAGGAGUUUCACUUCUGGGCUACUUGUCAAUUGAUAAUUGCUGUUUUUCCACAAAGAUGAGUUGUAAGAAUUCACCUGACAGGUUAAAAAUAAAACCAGCAGGAGAGCAGUAUCUUCUGAGAAGAACUGGAAAUUAUACUAUAAAACACUUGUGAGAAGUAAGAAGAAAUGGGAUAUGUAGAACUAGACAUUAAAUCAGCUUAUGAGUUACCAAUAUUAAGCCAUCCUGUAAACGUGUACAUAUUAAAAAAGAAUUAAAAUUAAAAUGAACAAAAAUACCUGGAAAUGUUUUGGAAAAUAGAAGGAAUGUGGUACUGUUGCAACCCAUGAACAUUUUAUGUGCUAUGCGUAUUAUUUUCCAUAAUCAAUAAAGACAUAUUUACCUUUAGCUGUACUACCUUUCUUAGCAAAACAUGCCUUGUGAUUCAUUUCCAUGACAGAGAACUAACUUGACAGUAAUUAUUAGAUCUUAAGAGCAGAACAGAUGAGUGAAUUUCCCACUUGCCUAGAAAUCUUCUUGAUUGCUCCUGUAUGCUGUUCUUCC